UGAGCAGAUCCUACCACCCAAUAGGCUGGC
rnacentral:piRNA from 1 species